rnacentral:rRNA from 1 species
UUUCCGUAGGUGAACCUGCGGAAGGAUCAUUGUCGAAACCUGCAAAAGCAGACCGUGAACAUGUCAAACCAUUCGGGAUCGAGGCGCGGGGGCAACCUCGCGCUGAGUCCUCUUCUCGUGCGCGUUCGUUUUUCGAGCUAACGAACCCCGGCGCGGCAUGCGCCAAGGAUUACUAAUAGGAGCGUUCGCCUUCGUCGCCCCGUACUCGGUGCGCGACGCGGGACGUCUCUAAAAGUCUAAACGACUCUCGGCAACGGAUAUCUCGGCUCUCGCAUCGAUGAAGAACGUAGCGAAAUGCGAUACUUGGUGUGAAUUGCAGAAUCCCGUGAACCAUCGAGUCUUUGAACGCAAGUUGCGCCCGAAACCACUCGGUUGAGGGCACGUCUGCCUGGGCGUCACGCAUCGCGUCGCCCCCGCCCUGUCCCCGGAAGUUGGCCCCCCGUGUGCGAAAGCACGCGGUCGGCCUAAAUUCGAACCCGCGGCGACUCGCGUCACGAUCAGUGGUGGUUGAAACUCAACUUUCUUGCUAUUGUGUCGAAAGUCGCUCGACGGGCGAAGCAUCGAACCCAAUGGCUCGUUCAAACCGAGCUUUCGACCGCGACCCCAGGUCAGACGGGAUUACCCGCUGAGUUUAA